rnacentral:rRNA from 1 species
GCUCCAGUAGCGUAUAUUAAAGUUGUUGCAGUUAAAAAGCUCGUGGUUGAAUUCCAAAUUAGUUGGUCAGGUUUGCCUUUGGUGAACUUGGCUGACUUAUUUGUUUUGUUGGAUCCAUUUAGAGUGCCUUUUAUCGGGUGCUUUAGGUGACCAACGAGUUUACUUUGAAAAAAUUAGAGUGCUCAAAGCAGCUUUCGCCU